GUUACUGCAUUCGAGAAAGACUGGGACAGUGCUGCACCUUGUGAACGAAAAGAUGUUUCCCUUCUGAAAUGACUAUUUUUCUUCAGUGCCUUCUUGGAUCCUAGAAAGGGCAAAAAUGACUAGAUUCUCGGGCAUCAUGUGGGAUCUUAAUUCCCCAACCGAGGAUUGAACCUGCACCCCCUGUAGUGGGGGCACAGAAUCUUAACCACUGGACUGCCAGGGAAGUCCCUGUAUAUUCUUCAAGGAUGUUGAGCCCAAGUGCACUCCCUAAAAAACCUCCUGCCAACUAAUCUCCCAGUGAGUCUGCUUCCAAGGGAAUUCAACCUGUGACAAUGCUCAACAUCAGUAAUCAUCAGGAAGAUGCAAAUUAAAACCAUAAGGAGAUGCCAUUUUACCUCCACUAGAAGGGCUAAAAAAAGACAACACCAAAUGUUGGUGAAGAUGCGGAAAAACUGGAACCCUCAUAUAGUGCUGGUGGGAGUGUAAAAAGGUACCACCAUGUUGGAGAAUUGUUUGGCUAUUUCUUAUAAAAUUAAAUAUAUAUUUAACCCGUGACACAGCAAUUCCAUUCUUAAGUGUGUAGCCAAGAGAAAUGAAGACAUAUUUGUAUAAAAUUGAACAAGAACACUCAUAGGUAGCCUUAGUUAUAGUAGCCCCAAACUGGAAAUAAUACGAAUGUCUAUCAAUAAGAGAAGGAAUAAAUAAAUUACAGUAUAGUCUUACCAUACUACUCAGCAAUAUAAAGGAAUGGAGUACUGAUACACACAACAUGUGUAGAUCAAAAACAUUAUGUUGGGGCUUCCCUGGUAGCACAGUGGUUAAGAAUCCACCUGCCAAUGCAGGGGACACGGGUUCAAGCCCUGGUCUGGGAAGAUCCCACAUGCCGUGGAGCAACUAAGCCCGUGCACCACAACUACUGAGCCUGUGCUCUAGAGCCCACGAGCCACAACUACUGAAGCCUGCGUGCCUAGAGCCCGUGCUCUGCAACAAGAGAAGCCACUGCAAUGAGAAGCCCACGCACCGCAACGAACAGUAGCCCCCGCUCGCUGCAACUAGAGAAAGCCCACAUGCAGCAACGAAGACCCA